AGCAGCCGCGGUAAUCCCAGCUCCAAUAGCGUAUAUUAAAGUUGCUGCAGUUAAAAAGCUCGUAGUUGAAUUUCGGGACCGAUAUAUCGGUCGUGCCUCGGUACGUACUGGUAUUUUCGGUUUCUCCCUUCUGACGAACCUUGAUGUCAUUAAUUUGGUGUCUUGGGGAAUCAGGACUGUUACUUUGAAAAAAUUAGAGUGUUUAAAGCAGGCUCACGCUUGAAUACAUUAGCAUGGAAUAAUGAAGUAGGACGUUUGAUUCUAUUUUGUUGGUUUCUAGGAUCGACGUAAUGAUUAAUAGGGAUAGUUGGGGGCAUUAGUAUUCAAUUGUCAGAGGUGAAAUUCUUGGAUUUAUUGAAGACUAACUACUGCGAAAGCAUUUGCCAAGGAUGUUUUCAUUAAUCAAGAACGAAAGUUAGGGGAUCGAAGACGAUCAGAUACCGUCGUAGU
rnacentral:rRNA from 1 species